AUUGUCAAAAGGGAAACAGCCCAGACCUACAACUAAGGUCCCAAAGUACAAGUUAAGUGGUAAAGGAUGUGUCGACGCUAAAACAACCAGGAUGUUGGCUUAGAAGCAGCCACUCAUUUAAAGAGUGCGUAAUAGCUCACUGGUCGAGUAUCGGUGCGCCGAAGAUUAUCGGGGCUAAAACUUGUCACCGAAGUUUAGGGAUAUGCGAUUGCAUAUCGGUAGAGGAGCAAUGUGUACGGGCAGAAGCUGUAUCGAAAGGGGCAGUGGACUGUACACAAGAGAGAAUGCCGGCAUAAGUAGCGAGAGCAAAGUGAGAAACUUUGCCGUCGAAAGCCUUAGGUUUCCUGGGGAAGGUUCGUCCUCCCAGGGUAAGUCGGGACCUAAGCCGAGGCCGAAAGGCGUAGGUGAUGGACAACAGGUAGAUAUUCCUGUACCACCGACAGUCGUCUAAAUGAAGCAAUGACACAGAAGGAUAGUCAAACCGCGUUGAUGGAUAUAUGCGGCCAAAUCAUUAGGCUUAUGUGUAGUGAAGUACGCACAUAGUUAAGGCUGAGUGAUGAUGGGGAGUGAAAACUAGUAAUGAAGUUGAUGAUUCCACGCUGGCGAGAAAAGUUGCUAAAUAUGACUGAAGGUGCCCGUACCGCAAACCGACACAGGUAGGUGAGGAGAAAAUCCUAAGACGAGCGGGAUAACCCAUGUUAAGGAACUCUGCAAAAUCACCCCGUAACUUAGGGAGAAGGGGUACCACGCAAGUGGUCGCAGUGAAGAGGCCCAAGCGACUGUUUACCAAAAACACAGGUCUCUGCUAAAUCGUAAGAUGAAGUAUAGGGGCUGACGCCUGCCCAGUGCUGGAAGGUUAAGGGGAUGUGUUAGCGCAAGCGAAGCACGGAACUUAAGCCCCAGUGAACGGCGGCCGUAACUAUAACGGUCCUAAGGUAGCGAAAUUCCUUGUCAGGUAAGUUCUGACCCGCACGAAUGGCGUAACGAUUUGGGCGCUGUCUCAACAUGGGACCCGGCGAAAUUGUAGUAUACGUGAAGAUGCGUAUUACCCGCGACUGGACGGAAAGACCCCGUAGAGCUUUACUGUAGUCUGAUAUUGGAUUUCGGUGAUUUAUGUACAGGAUAGGUGGGAGACUUUGAAGCAUAGGCGUCAGCUUAUGUGGAGUCAACCUUGGGAUACCACCCUUAAAUUAUUGAGGUUCUAACUUUGUGCCGUAAUCCGGGCAGAGAACAGUGUCAGAUGGGCAGUUUGACUGGGGCGGUCGCCUCCUAAAAUGUAACGGAGGCGUCCAAAGGUUCCCUCAGGAUGGUUGGAAAUCAUCCAAAGAGUAUAAAGGCAGAAGGGAGCUUAACUGCGAGACAGACAUGUCGAGCAGAUACGAAAGUAGGGCUUAGUGAUCCGGCGGUAGAGUAUGGAAUUGCCGUCGCUUAACGGAUAAAAGUUACCUCGGGGAUAACAGGCUUAUCUCCCCCAAGAGUUCACAUCGACGGGGAGGUUUGGCACCUCGAUGUCGGCUCGUCACAUCCUGGGGCUGUAGUAGGUCCCAAGGGUUCGGCUGUUCGCCGAUUAAAGUGGCACGCGAGCUGGGUUCAGAACGUCGUGAGACAGUUCGGUCCCUAUCCAUCGUGGGCGUAGGAUAUUUGAGAGGAUCUGCUCCUAGUACGAGAGGACCAGAGUGGACGCACCUAUGGUGCACCUGUUGUCGCGCCAGCGGCACAGCAGGGUAGCGAUGUGCGGAUGGGAUAAACGCUGAAAGCAUCUAAGCGUGAAACCCACCUCAAGAUUAGAUAUCCCAUAUCAUAAGAUAGUAAGACCCCUUGA
rnacentral:rRNA from 1 species